GUGAUCAUGUGCGUCACAAAACGACCAUUUCAAAAGUCGCAGGAAGCCCCAAGCGGGAGACAGCAGGACAGAAACAAAACUCUUCAAGUUUGAGGUCCUCAGCUGAUAUGAACCCUUUGCUAAGUCCAGCAGGGACAAUCGGUAUGUAGCAUAACGUUAAAUACAAAAAAAAAAAUUCAUGGAGAAUGGCUGUGCAGCAAACAAAGAUCCUCAAAGGUCCUGAAGUCACAUGAUGGACAUGUUGACAGGACAAGGAUGUGAACAGAUUGCGGAGCUGCUGUGGAAAUUUCUCCAACUUUUUUUCCACUGCCCUGGAGGUCAGAUUCCAGGUUGAGGUACAGGACAGGUCCUCAACACUGCAGAGUUCAUUGUGGGCUAUCGUUCAUUGUACAGUUUCCUUUUCUAACUUAAUAUUCAUUCAUUAAAGGUACUGGUUUUACAAUCAAAA